rnacentral:rRNA from 1 species
CUACGGGUGGCUCCAGUAGGGAAUAUUGGACAAUGGGCGAAAGCCUGAUCCAGCAACACCGCGUGCACGAUGACGGCCUUCGGGUUGUAAAGUGCUUUUAGAGGAGAUGAGAAAGGACAGUAUCCUCUGAAUAAGCCUCGGCGAACUACGUGCCAGCAGCCGCGGUAAAACGUAGGAGGCAAGCGGUAUCCGGAUUUAUUGGGCGUCAAGCGCGUGCAGGCGGUCUAGCAAGUUGGAUGUGAAAGCUCCCGGCUCAACUGGGAGAGGUCGUUCAAUACUGUUAGACUAGAGAAUAGGAGAGGGAGGUGGAAUUCCGGGUGUAGUGGUGAAAUGCGUAGAUAUCCGGAGGAACACCAGUGGCGAAAGCGGCCUCCUGGACUAUUUCUGACGCUAAGACGCGAAAGCUAGGGUAGCAAACGGGAUUAGAUACCCCGGUAGUC